rnacentral:rRNA from 1 species
UACGUAGGGCGCGAGCGUUGUCCGGAAUUAUUGGGCGUAAAGAGCUCGUAGGCGGCCGGUUGCGUCUGCUGUGAAAUCCCGGGGCUUAACCCCGGGCGUGCAGUGGAUACGGGCCGGCUGGAGGCAGGCAGGGGAGAAUGGAAUUCCCGGUGUAGCGGUGAAAUGCGCAGAUAUCGGGAGGAACACCGGUGGCGAAGGCGGUUCUCUGGGCCUGUACUGACGCUGAGGAGCGAAAGCUGGGGGAGCAAACGGG